rnacentral:rRNA from 1 species
AACGAACGCUGGCGGCAUGCCUAACACAUGCAAGUCGAACGAGACCUUCGGGUCUAGUGGCGCAAGGGUGCGUAACGCGUGGGAACCUGCCCUUAGGUUCGGAAUAACUCCCCGAAAGGGGUGCUAAUACCGGAUAAUGUCUUCGGACCAAAGAUUUAUCGCCUUUGGAUGGGCCCGCGUUGGAUUAGCUAGUUGGUAGGGUAAAAGCCUACCAAGGCGACGAUCCAUAGCUGGUCUGAGAGGAUGAUCAGCCACACUGGGACUGAGACACGGCCCAGACUCCUACGGGAGGAAGCAGUGGGGAAGAUUGGACAAUGGGCGAAAGCCUGAUCCAGCAAGGCCGCGUGAGGGAUGAAGGCCUUAGGGUUGUAAAGCUCUUUUACCCGGGAUGAUAAUGACAGUACCGGGAGAAUAAGCUCCGGCUAACUCCGUG